UUCAGAUAGGAUUUGGGAUAAGGAUGGUAUCUCCACACCAACAAAGAAAAAUUGCAGUGUUAAAGAAGUGGGAUGAAACAUACAUCGGAGAUUGAAACAUACAUCUUUUCCUAGGUGAGAGAUCUCCUAAUUAUCAGCCUGUUCGCUUCAGCUUAUCAGCCACCGAACAGUAUUUUUCUCUCACAACAAAUCAGCCGUUUCAACUUUUCAGCCGGUUUAUAAGUCCAGCCGAACAGGCAUGUCAUACUGAGCACUAAAGAAGUGCGAUUGAAUUCUUCUCUCUUCGAGAUUUAUUUCUGGUUGUUUCGGUCUGUGAAACACGGAUACGCCAGGAAGGGUGCGUAUCCCGUUUCGGAUACGUAUCCGAUAUGGAUACACGGCCGGGAUACGUAUCCGCGGCGUGUCCGCGUAUCCCUUCUUAAUUGGGCCGGAAACGAAGGAACGGAAACGUUUCGGCCCAAUCGAUACGGCCCAGCCCAACUUACCAGUUACCACCAUCCCUUGCCCUACUCCCGAGUCCCGACCCUGCGCAGCCGCCUCCGCCUCCCCUACGCAGCGGCGCAGCGCCCGUGUCCGCCGCCCGCCGGCGACCAGCCUCCGCCGGUCCGCCCUCCCACGCGCAGCCUCACGCCUCCGCCUCCCCCACGCAGCGGCGCAGCGCCGGCGGCGAGCUUCCGUCCCUACUCGCUGGCCGGCAGCGACGAGUUUCCGCCCCUGCCACGUGGAUCCAGGCUGCAGCGAGUUCCCGUUCUCGAUCUCCCCUUCUUCUUCAGUUCGUGGCCGCUGCGACGAGUUCCAGGCCCCUGCGACGAGUUCCUUGAUAGAUGGCGUCUCCAAAUAUGAGCAGUGCAGCAAGUAGGAACUUGCUGCUGCAUGAAUUGCAAGCCUGCAUGCCUUUUAUUAAUUUUCUAAAUUUGAGACUACUAUAUUUGAGAGUUGAGGAGACUUGAGAAGGAGAACUGCUGUGUUGGAGUAAUAGUACACUUAAGUAGUUAAUUGCAACGGUUUAUUGUUAUCA